AAUCAACGCUGGCGGCGUGCCUCAGACAUGCAAGUCGAACGCGAAAGUCCCCUUCGGGGGACAAGUAGAGUGGCGCACGGGUGAGUAACACGUAGGUAAUCCACCUUCGGAUGGGGAAUAACAACCGGAAACGGUUGCUAAUACCGCAUAAUGCAGCGGCACCUAAUGGUGACAGCUGUUAAAGCGGGGGAUCGAAAGACCUCGCGUCUGAAGAGGAGCCUGCGGCGGAUUAGCUAGUUGGUAAGGUAACGGCUUACCAAGGCGACGAUCCGUAGCCGGCCUGAGAGGGCGGUCGGCCACACUGACACUGACAUACGGGUCAGACUCCUACGGGAGGCAGCAGUCGGGAAUUUUGGGCAAUGGGCGAAAGCCUGACCCAG
rnacentral:rRNA from 1 species